UGGGGAAUUUUGGACAAUGGGCGAAAGCCUGAUCCAGCAAUGCCGCGUGUGUGAAGAAGGCCUUCGGGUUGUAAAGCACUUUUGUCCGGAAAGAAAUCCUUGGCUCUAAUACAGUCGGGGGAUGACGGUACCGGAAGAAUAAGCACCGGCUAACUACGUGCCAGCAGCCGCGGUAAUACGUAGGGUGCAAGCGUUAAUCGGAAUUACUGGGCGUAAAGCGUGCGCAGGCGGUUUGCUAAGACCGGUGUGAAAUCCCCGGGCUCAACCUGGGAACUGCAUUGGUGACUGGCAGGCUAGAGUAUGGCAGAGGGGGGUAGAAUUCCACGUGUAGCAGUGAAAUGCGUAGAGAUGUGGAGGAAUACCGAUGGCGAAGGCAGCCCCCUGGGCCAAAUACUGACGCUCAUGCACGAAAGCGUGGGGAGCAAACAGGAUUAGAUACCCUGGUAGUCCACGCCCUAAACGAUGUCAACUAGUUGUUGGGGAUUCAUUUCCUUAGUAACGUAGCUAACGCGUGAAGUUGACCGCCUGGGGAGUACGGUCGCAAGAUUAAAACUCAAUGAAUUGACGGGGUCAUAGCUGUUUCCU
rnacentral:rRNA from 1 species